rnacentral:rRNA from 1 species
CAUACCUAUUCGAAGGGAUAGGGUCGGUUUGGCCGGAUUUCACACAGGUGUUGCAUGGCUGUCGUCAGCUCGUGUCGUGAGAUGUUGGGUUAAGUCCCGCAACGAGCGCAACCCUCAUCCUUAGUUACCAUCAGGUUAUGCUGGGGACUUUAAGGAAACUGCCAGUGAUAAACUGGAGGAAGGUGGGGAUGAUGUCAAGUCAUCAUGGCCCUUAUGGAGUGGGCUACACACGUGCUACAAUGGUGAUUACAAUGGGCUGCAAGGUCGCAAGGCUGAGCUAAUCCUAAAAAAUCAUCUCAGUUCGGAUUGUUCUCUGCAACUCGAGAGCAUGAAGUUGGAAUCGCUAGUAAUCGUGGAUCAGCAUGCCACGGUGAAUACGUUCUCGGGUCUUGUACACACUGCCCGUCACGCCAUGGGAAUUGGUUUCACCCAAACCU